GAUAAACGCCUCCUUCCUGUGAGGGCUGCUGCUGAACUUUCAAAUGAGGUAUGAGGGAGAGAUAAUGGACGGACGAAUGUAGCUUGACUUCUCCUCCUCCUCUUCCGUCGGGCUCUCCCAUCAGACUUUUGCACUUCUGUCAACGUCAUGGCACAAAGACACAGGUGGUAAACAAACUCAAAAGCAUUUGAAAGCUAACCACAGAGCUAAAUUCACAUAACGAGAAAGAAAGCAACAACGAUACCUUUCUCACACGACUGUGACAACCCUAAAGUCGAGUUUCACGUGUGGGUGGAAAUACUUUUGGAGAGGAAAGAAGAGCUGAGGUUUCGGAGCAGCGAUAGAAGCGAACGACAGCGAACACCAUCGCACAGCGGACAAGAUGGAAGCUGUACGUAAGUUAUGGCACCCUGGCACGUGGAGCCAUGGUGAUCGUAGCACUAGUCGUGAUUAUCGUUAUUUACUGCUGCUUUUACAGAGUGACAUGUAAGUGUACACACACACACACACACACACACACACAAAUUACAACACAAAGUUAGUUUUCUCUGCUUUUCAGCACACGAAUCAUCUCCCAGUAAAGACCCACAGGAGCCGAUCACGCACCGAGGACAUGCUGACCGUAAUGAGGAAAAGACUGAUUCUGGUUCGGUGUAUGAGAAUCUGACUCUUUCUGGUUCGGUGUAUGAGAAUCUGACUCUUUCUGGUUCGGUGUAUGAGAAUCUGACUCUUUCUGGCUCGGUGUAUGAGAAUCUGACUCUUUCUGGUUCGGUGUAUGAGAAUCUGACUCUUUCUGGUUCGGUGUAUGAGAAUCUGACUCUUUCUGGUUCAGUAUAUGAGAAUCUGACUCUUUCUGGUUCGGUGUAUGAGAAUCUGACUCUUUCUGGUUCGGUGUAUGAGAAUCUGACUCUUUCUGGUUCGGUGUAUGAGAAUCUGACUCUUUCUGGUUCGGUGUAUGAGAAUCUGACUCUUUCUGGUUCGGUGUAUGAGAAUCUGACUCUUUCUGGUUCGGUGUAUGAGAAUCUGACUCUUUCUGGUUCGGUGUAUGAGAAUCUGACUCUUUCUGGUUCGGUGUAUCAGUUUCUGGUUUAGAGUAUCAGACUCUAAAGAAGACCAAUCGAAACACGUGCAUUUACGAGUGUUUAUGAAUGUGUAGAUGACAGCGGGACACGCGGCGGGACACGCAGCAGGACCGAGUCCAUCUACCAGGACAUUCGAGAAUUUCUGAGAAUUCGUCCCGGGCCUUGCUUUGAAGACCAUCAAUUUUUUUAUUUUCCUAUAUUGAAAGAUAAAUUUUAUAUAAGGUAUUAUAAACAUAUAUUAAAUUUGAACGUACGCAGUCCGAACCCCCCAAAAAACCAUACAAGUCUCUCUAUACAGUCAGGUCCGUAAGUAUUUGGACAGUGACCCAGUUUUUGUGAUUUUGCCGCUGUACACCACCACGGUGGAUUUGAAAUGAAGCAAUGACGUGAUUGAAGUGUAGCCCUUCAGCUUGAAUUCAAGGGGUUUAACAAAAAUAUUGCAUUAACCGUUUACAUUUACUUACAGAGUCCCUCCAUUCUCACAGGCUCAAAAGUAACUGGACAACCGACUGAUAAGCAGUUUCAUGGCCAGGUGUAACCUGUUUCCUUGUUAUUUCAUGGCAGAUAACGGAAAUAAGAGGUCCAGGGUUGGUUCCAGGUGUUGAACUUGAAAGAAGUAACUGUAAAGAAGUAAAGAAGUAACUGUACGUCCAUGAGAAUUGUUACAAAUGAUUUAACUUUCGCACUCUGAGCCCUUUAACUUUCGCACUCUGAUCCGUUUAACUUUCGCACUCCGGUCCAUUUAACUUUCUAACUCUGAUCCAUUUAACUUUCGCACUCCGAUCCAUUUACCAUUCGCGCUCCGAUCCUUUUAACUUUCGCACUCUGAUCCGUUUAACUUUCGCACUCUGAUCCGCUCACACACAGCUGUAUGAGUUUGUGUGUGUGUCUGUGUGUGUGUGCGUGUAUGUUGGCAAGCACUGUGUUACCUGAGCGCUGAUAGCGUGCCAUACCGUGCCGACACUCGGACAGGAAGCUGGGGCGAGAUAAACGGCGACGUGCCUCGAAAGACAGCGUGGCGAUCACACUCCCCAUGUCCACCUGAUGGAGUGAGCUCAGGCGUCCACGCUGAGCAGAACGAAUAUAUACGAGUACGACGUAGCCAGCUCCAAGCUCGCGACUAUAGAGACACUGAUGGGGAAGGAAAAGACCUUCACACUCACGUGUAUGUGUGUGUGUGUUUGUGCGCGUGUACGUGUCGAGACACGUGUCUGGAUCUCUUCAAAAGGCUCUUCACAUUGUUUGGUGACGACAUCUAAGUCGAUAAUGAUGAUGAUGAUGAUGUGUGUGUGCGUGUGUGUGUCUGUGUCCACCUGUCUGUUAAAGAGACAUCAAAAGACCCGUCCAGUCGUGACAUUUAGCUUAAAACAGAACACACACACACGCGCACAC